CUGUUCUAAGCAAUUUGCCACGUUAGGAAGUUUUUAUUCUCAGAAAAAUACCUUUCGUGCGAUGCAUGAGAAAUAUUAAGAGUCAGAAGUGUGCCAGUCGACGAACUGUGGUCACAGCGCGGUCAUAAGGAACCGCCAUAGAAUGCCAACGCUAUCAUUAUCGCUAAUCGGAACGCCGAGAACAAAUGGGUCUGUUGCAUAACGGACCACGCCUUAAGGGUCAACGGUGACCCCGCGCUGCGUCCACAUGGCUCUGG